rnacentral:tRNA from 1 species
GGAUAUAGCUCAGUUGGUAGAGUGCUUGCUUUGCAUGAACAAGGCCUUGGGUUCAAUUUCCAACACCA